rnacentral:tRNA from 3 species
GGUCCGUUGGUCAAGGGGUUAAGACACCGCCUUUUCACGGCGGUAACACGGGUUCAAAUCCCGUACGGACUA